UACGGAGGGUGCAAGCGUUACUCGGAAUCACUGGGCGUAAAGAGCGUGUAGGCGGAUUGAUAAGUUUGAAGUGAAAUCCUAUAGCUUAACUAUAGAACUGCUUUGAAAACUGUUAAUCUAGAAUGUGGGAGAGGUAGAUGGAAUUUCUGGUGUAGGGGUAAAAUCCGUAGAGAUCAGAAGGAAUACCGAUUGCGAAGGCGAUCUACUGGAACAAUAUUGACGCUGAGACGCGAAAGCGUGGGGAGCAAAC
rnacentral:rRNA from 3 species